CUCUGACCUUCGAGGGGAGCCCUUAGUGAAGCUGUGGCCAGCAUACAGGUGGGGAAGCGGUCAUCUGAGAAUGUGCUGGAAUCGGUGGGAGAAUGGACAGUGAGCUUAGAGGUCUGAAAUCUCAUCUACUCUUCCACAUGGCGGAGGUGGGCACUGAGGAGUGGUCCUGGCUCGGAUGGGGGUGCAGACGUGCUGGGUGUUGCCUUGGGUUUGAAGCAGAGGUCUCCCUAUACUAA
rnacentral:lncRNA from 1 species